rnacentral:rRNA from 1 species
AUUGAACGCUGGCGGCAGGCCUAACACAUGCAAGUCGAACGGGCCGGCGGACGGGUACGUGAGGCCUAGGAAUCUGCCUGGGCGUGGGGGCUGGCGACCGGUAACGGGAGCUGAUACCGCUUACUAUCAGAUGAGCCUAGGCCGGAUUAGCUUGUUGGGGGGGUAAAGGCCCACCAAGGCGACGGCCCGUAGCUGGUCUGGGAGGAGGAGCAGUCACACUGGAACUGAGACACGGUCCAGACUCCUACGGGAGGCAGCAGUGGGGAAUAUUGGACAAUGGGCGAAAGCCUGAUCCAGCCAUGCCGCGUGUGUGAAGAAGGCCUUCGGAUUGUAAAGCACUUUAAGUGGGGAGGCGUUACCAACAGAAUAAGCACCGGCUAACUCCGUGCCAGCCGCCGCGGUAAUUC